rnacentral:rRNA from 1 species
UGCAGUCGAGCGACAGACGAGGAGCUUGCUCCUCUGACGUUAGCGGCGGACGGGUGAGUAACACGUGGGUAACCUACCUAUAAGACUGGGAUAACUCCGGGAAACCGGGGCUAAUACCGGAUAACACAUGAAACCGCAUGGUUUCAUGAUGAAAGACGGUUUUGCUGUCACUUAUAGAUGGACCCGCGGCGUAUUAGCUAGUUGGUAAGGUAACGGCUUACCAAGGCAACGAUACGUAGCCGACCUGAGAGGGUGAUCGGCCACACUGGAACUGAGACACGGUCCAGACUCCUACGGGAGGCAGCAGUAGGGAAUCUUCCGCAAUGGGCGAAAGCCUGACGGAGCAACGCCGCGUGAGUGAUGAAGGUCUUCGGAUCGUAAAACUCUGUUAUUAGGGAAGAACAAGGGUGUAAGUAACUGUGCAUCCCUUGACGGUACCUAAUCAGAAAGCCACGGCUAACUACGUGCCAGCAGCC